rnacentral:misc_RNA from 1 species
AAGUCGUAACAAGGUCUCCGUUGGUGAACCAGCGGAGGGAUCAUUACUGAGUUCUACAAAAACUCCCAACCCUUUGUGAACCUUACCAUCGUUGCCUCGGCGCCGAGCAGCGGCUACCCGGGAGAAGCUACCCUGUAACUGCGAGAGCAGCUACCCUGUAGCAACCCUGUAGUCGCACUCUACGCUCCGCCGGAGGACCACGCAAACUCUUUUGUAUCAUGGUGUAUCUCUGAAUACGUAACUAAAUAAGUUAAAACUUUCAACAACGGAUCUCUUGGUUCUG